rnacentral:rRNA from 1 species
UACGGGGGGGGCAAGCGUUGUUCGGAAUUACUGGGCGUAAAGGGCUCGUAGGCGGCCAACUAAGUCGGAUGUGAAAUCCCCAGGCUUAACCUGGGAACUGCAUCCGAUACUGGAUGGCUUGAAUCCGGGAGAGGGAUGCAGAAUUCCAGGUGUAGCGGUGAAAUGCGUAGAUAUCUGGAGGAAUACCGGUGGCGAAGGCGGCAUCCUGGACCGGCAUUGACGCUGAUGAGCGGAAGCUAGGGGAGCAAACGGG